rnacentral:rRNA from 1 species
CCCUAUGGGGUGCAGCAGGCGCGAAAACUUUACAAUGCAGGCAACUGUGAUAAGGGAACCCCGAGUGCCCGUAUGGACGGGCUGUUCAGGUGCUUAAAAACCACCUGGAGAAAGGGCCGGGCAAGACCGGUGCCAGCCGCCGCGGUAAUACCGGCGGCUCGAGUGGUGGCCACUAUUACUGGGCUUAAAGCGUCCGUAGCUUGGUCGUUAAGCCUCUGGGGAAAUCUUCCGGCUCAACCGGAAGGCGUCUCAGGGGAACUGGCGGCCUAGGGAUCGGGAGAGGUGAGAGGUACUCUGGGGGUAGGAGUGAAAUCCUGUAAUCCUCAGGGGACCACCUGUGGCGAAGGCGUCUCACCAGAACGACUCCGACAGUGAGGGACGAAAGCUGGGGGAGCAAACCGG